GGUUAAGCGACUAAGCGUACACGGUGGAUGCCCUGGCAGUCAGAGGCGAUGAAGGGCGUGCUAAUCUGCGAUAAGCGCCGGUAAGGUGAUAUGAACCGUUAUAACCGGCGAUACCCGAAUGGGGAAACCCAGUGUGACUCGUCACACUAUCAUUAACUGAAUCCAUAGGUUAAUGAGGCGAACCGGGGGAACUGAAACAUCUAAGUACCCCGAGGAAAAGAAAUCAACCGAGAUUCCCCCAGUAGCGGCGAGCGAACGGGGAGGAGCCCAGAGCCUGAAUCAGCAUGUGUGUUAGUGGAAGCGUCUGGAAAGGCGCGCGAUACAGGGUGACAGCCCCGUACACAAAAAGCGCAUGUGCUGUGAGCUCGAUGAGUAGGGCGGGACACGUGGUAUCCUGUCUGAAUAUGGGGGGACCAUCCUCCAAGGCUAAAUACUCCUGACUGACCGAUAGUGAACCAGUACCGUGAGGGAAAGGCGAAAAGAACCCCGGCGAGGGGAGUGAAAAAGAACCUGAAACCGUGUACGUACAAGCAGUGGGAGCACAGGUUUACCUGUGUGACUGCGUACCUUUUGUAUAAUGGGUCAGCGACUUAUAUUCUGUAGCAAGGUUAACCGAAUAGGGGAGCCGGAGGGAAACCGAGUCUUAACCGGGCGUUAAGUUGCAGGGUAUAGACCCGAAACCCGGUGAUCUAGCCAUGGGCAGGUUGAAGGUUGGGUAACACUAACUGGAGGACCGAACCGACUAAUGUUGAAAAAUUAGCGGAUGACCUGUGGCUGGGGGUGAAAGGCCAAUCAAACCGGGAGAUAGCUGGUUCUCCCCGAAAGCUAUUUAGGUAGCGCCUCGUGAAUUCAUCUCCGGGGGUAGAGCACUGUUUCGGCUAGGGGGCCAUCCCGGCUUACCAACCCGAUGCAAACUGCGAAUACCGGAGAAUGUUAUCACGGGAGACACACGGCGGGUGCUAACGUCCGUCGUGAAGAGGGAAACAACCCAGACCGCCAGCUAAGGUCCCAAAGUCAUGGUUAAGUGGGAAACGAUGUGGGAAGGCCCAGACAGCCAGGAUGUUGGCUUAGAAGCAGCCAUCAUUUAAAGAAAGCGUAAUAGCUCACUGGUCGAGUCGGCCUGCGCGGAAGAUGUAACGGGGCUAAACCAUGCACCGAAGCUGCGGCAGCGAACGUAUCACUUAAAGCGAUUCAGCGGGUUACGAUUGACGGAGCGAAGCGACGUCAAAGCGUAUACAAAGUCGAGUCGGUUUAAGGAUACGUUCGUUGGGUAGGGGAGCGUUCUGUAAGCCUGUGAAGGUGUGUCGUGAGGCAUGCUGGAGGUAUCAGAAGUGCGAAUGCUGACAUAAGUAACGAUAAAGCGGGUGAAAAGCCCGCUCGCCGGAAGACCAAGGGUUCCUGUCCAACGUUAAUCGGGGCAGGGUGAGUCGACCCCUAAGGCGAGGCCGAAAGGCGUAGUCGAUGGGAAACGGGUUAAUAUUCCCGUACUUGGUGUUACUGCGAAGGGGGGACGGAGAAGGCUAUGUUGGCCGGGCGACGGUUGUCCCGGUUUAAGCGUGUAGGCUGGUUUUCCAGGCAAAUCCGGAAAAUCAAGGCUGAGGCGUGAUGACGAGGCACUACGGUGCUGAAGCAACAAAUGCCCUGCUUCCAGGAAAAGCCUCUAAGCAUCAGGUAACAUCAAAUCGUACCCCAAACCGACACAGGUGGUCAGGUAGAGAAUACCAAGGCGCUUGAGAGAACUCGGGUGAAGGAACUAGGCAAAAUGGUGCCGUAACUUCGGGAGAAGGCACGCUGACACGUAGGUGAAGUGAUUUACUCAUGGAGCUGAAGUCAGUCGAAGAUACCAGCUGGCUGCAACUGUUUAUUAAAAACACAGCACUGUGCAAACACGAAAGUGGACGUAUACGGUGUGACGCCUGCCCGGUGCCGGAAGGUUAAUUGAUGGGGUCAGCGCAAGCGAAGCUCCUGAUCGAAGCCCCGGUAAACGGCGGCCGUAACUAUAACGGUCCUAAGGUAGCGAAAUUCCUUGUCGGGUAAGUUCCGACCUGCACGAAUGGCGUAAUGAUGGCCAGGCUGUCUCCACCCGAGACUCAGUGAAAUUGAACUCGCUGUGAAGAUGCAGUGUACCCGCGGCAAGACGGAAAGACCCCGUGAACCUUUACUAUAGCUUGACACUGAACAUUGAGCCUUGAUGUGUAGGAUAGGUGGGAGGCUUUGAAGCGUGGACGCCAGUCUGCGUGGAGCCGACCUUGAAAUACCACCCUUUAAUGUUUGAUGUUCUAACGUGGACCCGUGAUCCGGGUUGCGGACAGUGUCUGGUGGGUAGUUUGACUGGGGCGGUCUCCUCCUAAAGAGUAACGGAGGAGCACGAAGGUUGGCUAAUCCUGGUCGGACAUCAGGAGGUUAGUGCAAUGGCAUAAGCCAGCUUGACUGCGAGCGUGACGGCGCGAGCAGGUGCGAAAGCAGGUCAUAGUGAUCCGGUGGUUCUGAAUGGAAGGGCCAUCGCUCAACGGAUAAAAGGUACUCCGGGGAUAACAGGCUGAUACCGCCCAAGAGUUCAUAUCGACGGCGGUGUUUGGCACCUCGAUGUCGGCUCAUCACAUCCUGGGGCUGAAGUAGGUCCCAAGGGUAUGGCUGUUCGCCAUUUAAAGUGGUACGCGAGCUGGGUUUAGAACGUCGUGAGACAGUUCGGUCCCUAUCUGCCGUGGGCGCUGGAGAACUGAGGGGGGCUGCUCCUAGUACGAGAGGACCGGAGUGGACGCAUCACUGGUGUUCGGGUUGUCAUGCCAAUGGCACUGCCCGGUAGCUAAAUGCGGAAGAGAUAAGUGCUGAAAGCAUCUAAGCACGAAACUUGCCCCGAGAUGAGUUCUCCCUGAGACUUAAAGUCUCCUGAAGGAACGUUGAAGACGACGACGUUGAUAGGCCGGGUGUGUAAGCGCAGCGAUGCGUUGAGCUAACCGGUACUAAUGAACCGUGAGGCUUAACCUU
rnacentral:rRNA from 1 species